rnacentral:hammerhead_ribozyme from 1 species
AUCUGGCUGACGAGUCUGAAACAAGACGAAAUGCUCGUCUUGGAU